UGGAGCAUGUGGUUUAAUUCGACGCAACGCGCAGAACCUUACCAGCCCUUGACAUCCCGGUCGCGGGGACCAGAGAUGGACCCUCAGUUCGGCUGGACCGGAGACAGGUGCUGCAUGGCUGUCGUCAGCUCGUGUCGUGAGAUGUUGGGUUAAGUCCCGCAACGAGCGCAACCCUCAUCCUUAGUUGCCAUCAUUCAGUUGGGCACUCUAAGGAAACUGCCGGUGACAAGCCGGAGGAAGGCGGGGAGUGACGUCAAGUCCUCAUGGCCCUUAUGGGCUGGGCUACACACGUGCUACAAUGGCGGUGACAAUGGGCUGCGAGCCUGCAAAGGUCGGCAAAUCCCAAAAAGCCGUCUCAGUUCAGAUUGUCCUCUGCAACUCGAGGGCAUGAAGUCGGAAUCGCUAGUAAUCGUGGAUCAGCAUGCCACGGUGAAUACGUUCCCGGGCCUU
rnacentral:rRNA from 1 species